GACGAACGCUGGCGGCGUGCCUAAUACAUGCAAGUUGAGCGAUGAAGCUUGGUGCUUGCACCAAUUUGAAGAGCAGCGAACGGGUGAGUAACGCGUGGGGAAUCUGCCUUUGAGCGGGGGACAACAUUUGGAAACGAAUGCUAAUACCGCAUAAUAACUUUAAACAUAAGUUUUAAGUUUGAAAGAUGCAAUUGCAUCACUCAAAGAUGAUCCCGCGUUGUAUUAGCUAGUUGGUGAGGUAAAGGCUCACCAAGGCGAUGAUACAUAGCCGACCUGAGAGGGUGAUCGGCCACGUUGGGACUGAGACACGGCCCAAACUCCUACGGGAGGCAGCAGUAGGGAAUCUUUGGCAAUGGACGAAAGUCUGACCGAGCAACGCCGCGUGAGUGAAGAAGGCUUUCGGAUCGUAAAACUCUGUUGGUAGAGAAGAACGUUGGUGAGAGUGGAAAGCUCAUCAAGUGACGGUAACUACCCAGAAAGGGACGGCUAACUACGUG
rnacentral:rRNA from 1 species